rnacentral:rRNA from 1 species
CCUACGGGGGGCAGCAGUGAGGAAUUUUGGUCAAUGGGUGAGAGCCUGAACCAGCCAAGUCGCGUGAAGGAUGAAGGAUCUAUGGUUUGUAAACUUCUUUUAUAUGGGAAUAAAGUGAGGAACGUGUUCCUUUUUGUAUGUACCAUAUGAAUAAGCAUCGGCUAACUCCGUGCCAGCAGCCGCGGUAAUACGGAGGAGGCGAGGGUUAUCCGGAUUUAUUGGGUUAAAAGGGUGCGUAGGUGGUUAAUUAAGUCAGCGGUGAAAGUUUGUGGCUCAACCAUAAAAUUGCCGUUGAAACUGGUUGACUUGAGAUGUCGAGAGGUAUGCGGAAUGCGCAGUGUAGCGGUGAAAUGCUUAGAUAU